rnacentral:rRNA from 1 species
AAGUAAGUAAGAGCGUAUGGCGGAUGCCUAGGCUCUCAGAGGCGAAGAAGGACGUGAUAAGCUGCGAUAAGCUACGGGGAUUAGCACAUAUGAAUUGAUCCGUAGAUUUCCGAAUGGGGCAACCCGGCUACUUGAAGAGUAGUCAUCUCAAUUUAUUGAGGGGCAAACCCGGAGAACUGAAACAUCUAAGUACCCGGAGGAAGAGAAAACAAUUAGUGAUUCCGUUAGUAGUGGCGAGCGGACGCGGAACAGCCCAAACCAGAUUAGUUACGGCUAGUCUGGGGUUGUAGGACUGCGAUAUCUUAACAAAAACGAACGAGAACGACUUGGGAAGGUCGGCCAAAGAAGGUGAAAGCCCUGUAUUGGUAAGUUUUUGAGCGGUAGCAGUAUCCUGAGUAGGGCGGGGCAGGUGAAACCCCGUUUGAAUCUACCAGCACCAUCUGGUAAGGCUAAAUACUCCUGAGAGACCGAUAGUGAACAAGUACCGUGAGGGAAAGGUGAAAAGUACCCUGAAUAAGGGGGUGAAAUAGAACCUGAAACCAUACGCUUACAAGCGGUUGGAGCCAAAUAAUUUUGGUGACAGCGUGCCUUUUGCAUAAUGAGCCUACGAGUUACUCCUCUCUAGCAAGGUUAAGGACUUCAGGUCCGUAGCCGGAGCGAAAGCGAGUCUGAAUAGGGCGCAUUAGUUAGAGGGGGUAGACGCGAAACCCGGUGAUCUACCCAUGACCAGGUUGAAGUUGCAGUAACAUGCAAUGGAGGACCGAACCAGUUGACGUUGAAAAGUCUUUGGAUGAGUUGUGGGUAGGGGUGAAAGGCCAAUCAAACCGGGAAAUAGCUCGUACUCCCCGAAAUGCUUUUAGGAGCAGCGUGGAGGUAGAGUCUGUUAGAGGUAGAGCUACCGAUAGGACUAGGGGGAGUCAAAUCCUACCAAAUCCUGACGAACUCCGAAUGCUAACAGAUAUACUCCGCAGUGAGGGCAAGGGUGCUAAGGUCCUUGUCCGAGAGGGAAAGAACCCGGACCAUCAGCUAAGGUCCCCAAAUAUAUACUAAGUUGAACUAAGGAGGUUCAGUUGCUUAGACAGCCAGGAUGUUGGCUUGGAAGCAGCCAUUCAUUUAAAGAGUGCGUAACAGCUCACUGGUCGAGCGACAGGGCAUCGAUGAUGAUCGGGCAUUAAGUAUAGUACCGAAGCUAAGGCAGUAGUUUACUACUGGGUAGGGGAGCAUUCUAUUCCGCGAUGAAGGUAUCUGGUGAUGGAUAUUGGAGCGUAUAGAAAAGCAAAUGUAGGCAUAAGUAACGAUAAGGCGGGUGAGAAACCCGCCCACCGAUAGACUAAGGUUUCCUCAGCAAUGCUAAUCAGCUGAGGGUUAGUCAGGGCCUAAGGCGAACCCGAAAGGGGUAGUCGAUGGACAACAGGUUAAUAUUCCUGUACUACCAUAUAGAGUGAUGGGGUGACGGAGUAGUGAAAGUACCGCGUACUGACGGAAUAGUACGUUAAAGAGUGUAGGUAUAGGCACAGUAGGUAAAUCCGCUGAGCUUGCUGAACUUGAUAGUACCACAACGCUUCGGCAGCGUGGAUAGUGGACCUAAUCAGACUUCCAAGAAAAACCUCU